UUCAAAUCUGAAAUCCAGCGACUGGAGCAGUGCCAGAACGAUUGAAGAUUAGAGGCUUUAUUCAUAAUUCCUGGUGCAAAGAAUAGCAGCUGAUGUGGAGAAAUGUUUGAUGCUUCAAGACUCUCUGAAGCUGAUUAUAUUAGGUGCACCCAGUGGCUUUUGACUAGGCCUAUUCGAGGGUCACAUGGUUGUGAAUUCAUACCUCAACUUUGCGGCUGGAUUUUCAGUCUUAUUACAACUUCAGCCUGGCAUCCCGGGAGCAGGCGUCUUUUGC